GACGAACGCUGGCGGCGUGCCUAAUACAUGCAAGUAGAACGCAGUUGCGAACGGGUGAGUAACGCGUAGGUAACUGCCUCAUAGCGGGGGAUAACUAUUGGAAACGAUAGCUAAUACCGCAUACUGUGAGAUGGACCUGCUUUGUUUUAGCUAGUUGGUGAGGUAAAGGCUCACCAAGGCGACGAUACAUAGCCGACCUGAGAGGGUGAUCGGCCACCAUGUGACAGAGACACGGCCCGAACUCCUACGGGAGGCAGCAUUGGGGAAUAUUGCACAAUGGGCGCAAGCCUGAUGCAGCCAUGCCGCGUGUAUGAAGAAGGCCUUCGGGUUGUAAAGUACUUUCAGCGAGGAGGCGUUACUCGCAGAAGAAGCACCGGCUAACUCCGUGCCAGCAGCCGCGGUAAUUC
rnacentral:rRNA from 1 species